UACUGUGAUAUUAUACAGCUGUGUCCUA
rnacentral:piRNA from 1 species